UACGGAGGGAGCAAGCGUUACUCGGAAUUAUUGGGCGUAAAGGGCUCGUAGGCGGUCUGUUACGUCGGGAGUGAAAACUCGGGGCUCAACCCCGAGCCUGCUUCCGAUACGGGCAGACUAGAGGUAUGCAGGGGAGAAUGGAAUUCCUGGUGUAGCGGUGAAAUGCGCAGAUAUCAGGAGGAACACCGGUGGCGAAGGCGGUUCUCUGGGCAUUACCUGACGCUGAGGAGCGAAAGUGUGGGGAGCGAACAGG
rnacentral:rRNA from 1 species